rnacentral:piRNA from 1 species
UAAGAAAUCAGCAGCAGAACAAGGCGUG